UUUUUACACACAGACAAGGACAAGAAAUAUGGAUAUGAGGCAAAAAAAUUAGGCAUCAUGCUUCAAGAAAUACAGCGAUGCAGUUAACAAUUAUGCAGAUAAGUUGAGGAAGGCUCAGUACAAUGCCUCUGACCAAGCCACUGAGUUGGGUCAUAGCAGAGUUAGAAUCCAUACCUGGCUGGAACUCCUGUCGAUGCAUCAAGCAUUUGACGAAAUCCUAACAAUGGAACUUUGCUGCUCAAAUACCUCAAAGUGUUAGAUCUUAGGAGAAACUCCCCAACAGGAUCUUAUCUGUUGCUUUGACUGAAUCCUCCAG